AUUGAACGCUGGCGGCAUGCCUUACACAUGCAAGUCGAACGGCAGCACGGACUUCGGUCUGGUGGCGAGUGGCGAACGGGUGAGUAAUGUAUCGGAACGUGCCUAGUAGUGGGGGAUAACUAGUCGAAAGAUUAGCUAAUACCGCAUACGACCUACGGGUGAAAGUGGGGGAUCGCAAGACCUCAUGCUAUUAGAGCGGCCGAUAUCAGAUUAGCUAGUUGGUGGGGUAAAGGCCCACCAAGGCAACGAUCUGUAGCUGGUCUGAGAGGACGACCGGCCACACUGGGACGGAGACACGGCCCAGACUCCUACGGGAGGCAGAAGUGGGGAAUUUUGGACAAUGGGGGCAACCCUGAUCCAGCAAUGCCGCGUGUGUGAAGAAGGCCUUCGGGUUGUAAAGCACUUUUGUCAGAGAAGAAAACUGUUGCGCUAAUAUCGCGACGGGAUGACGGUAUCUGAAGAAUAAGGACCGGCUAACUACGUGCCAGCCGCCGCCGUAA
rnacentral:rRNA from 1 species